GGGGCUGUGUGUUCGCCUGCCGCAUUGCAUGAAAAGGGAGCGCGGAGGCAACAGGAAAGUGGGAGCGCUUGUGGGUGGGGGACACGAGGCUGCCGUCCUGUGCUGCGCUCUGCUUGGGUGAAUCCGGUACCGCGCCCUGCCCGCGGUCUCCUCCGUUGGGCCCGACGCUGCCCUGCAGAAGCCGCUCGCGCCUCCUGGGGUCGCUUGUCGCGGGGCCUCGCUUCUUCCACGCAGACCCGGCUCCUUGGGAUGUUUUCUUCUACAAGGAUGUAUUCUAAUCCACAUGACUGUGUCCCACUAUUUGGGCCAGCUGAGGGAAACAGCUCCACAUAUGCUCUUCUGUUGCUGGAGGAGAUGGUCCUGUUGUAGGAGAUGAUACUGCUGAGGAUCUAACCUCCUGGGGAGAGCAAGUUUGCUCUGGUGGUUCUACAGAAAGGACAAAGACUUCCUUUAAAUAACAGAACAGCUGCCAAGGAAAUUGUAGUACUGUCACAAAAUGGGUUUCAGGUUUGGGGAAUCAAUCAAAAAAAAAGGCAUCCAUUCCUUCCUGGCCCAGGGAGUGCAGUGAAACCCAUACGAAGACUGCAAGCACCGUGCAGGGCUUGCAGGUGUAAAGUCUCCCUCCCAUCACAACUGCAAGCUUCCAGAGGACCCUGGUCAUCACCCCACCAAGAUCUCCCUGAUUUAUGUUCUGUGGCUCUGCAAGUUCCCCAAAGCAGCCAGCUGCACCUGCCACCACCAUGGAACCCUACCCUGAAGUGAUUCAAAGCAAACACAUUUCCACCCAGCUUUGCACUUCCUAAAAACAAGGUCUAAUCAGGGGGUUGUGUGCAGAAUUGUCACCUGUAGGUGACAAUGCAGGACCCCCUGCCCAGGAUCAUAAUGAUGUUGGGAGUCACUGGGAGUAUAACAGACUUUUCAGAGAGGCAUUUGCUGGGACCAGCUUUAAGGGGUAUAUUUCUUGGUGCCUGUCCAGAUAUAGUUGCUAGAGUGCAUGAGUUCCUAGCUUCUUCAGAUUCUUAGGCAAGGUCUUCCAGACCCUGCACCCCUUGACUAUCCAGGCCCUUUUCUCCCUUCUCCCCAUGAGCUCAGCUCCUGGAGAGGGUCUUUACCUCUUUACAGGGCUGGAGUGCAGCUGGAGUCAUACACAGCAAAGCAGGCAGCCCUUCUUCAUCAGGCAAAGUCAUUGUGGAUCCAGGGGGGUGCAGUUUCACAUUUUGAUUCCUGUUUCACCCAAGCUUUAAAACCAACUGCCGGGGAGGUUCUGCCACAUUUCUAUUCAGCCAGUGCUGGGAGAUUCAAUUGACUUCAUGGUUCAUUGUCAUCUCCCUAAUUCCUGCUAACUUCUCUCCACCCCACAGGUGUUAAUGACCCUCUCUCCUUUGUAAAGCUCUUGAUGUUCCACUGUUCAAACUAUCCUUCUGCAAUUUUGCUGUCUGUUGGCCAUUCCUGGUAAUGUCUCACUUCUAUUUCACAGCCCUGCAGACUGUUUUUAGUUCUAACUAAAAACCUUAGGUCAGGUGUGGUAAUAUUAACUCAAGUGUAGAAAUGACUGAUAGUAAACUAUUCAAGGCACCAUCAAGAUGUUCAAGAAGACUAGAUUUUGUUUUAUGAAUCUGAGUAACAGACAUAUAUUUAACUGUAAUGAAUACAGGAUUAAUGACACAAUAUUUUUACCUAGUUUGUUGUGGUAUUUUAAAACUUAUAUAUGUAAUCUGGCAAAUCAGUGCACAUUCCAAUAACUAUAUUUGUUUUUGCUUUGGUCUUAAACUGAAUGAAGUCGUGCUAGUUUCCUAACAUUCUAGUAAAGCAUCUAGUUUCUCUUUAACUGGAGAAAAAUGUGUAUUGUAAUUAGGGCUGUCAAAUGAUUAAAAAGUGUGAUUGUGAUUAGUUGUGUGAUUAAAAAAAUUAGUCAUAAUGAA